rnacentral:rRNA from 1 species
AACGAACGCUGGCGGCAUGCCUAACACAUGCAAGUCGAACGAGACCUUCGGGUCUAGUGGCGCACGGGUGCGUAACGCGGGGGAACCUGCCCUUAGGUUCGGAAUAACUCCCCGAAAGGGGUGCUAAUACCGGAGAAUGUCUUCGGACCAAAGAUUUAUCGCCUUUGGAUGGGCCCGCGUUGGAUUAGCGAGUUGGUAGGGUAAAAGCCUACCAAGGCGACGAGCCAUAGCUGGUCUGAGAGGAUGAUCAGCCACACUGGGACUGAGACACGGCCCCGACUCCUACGGGGGGCAGCAGUGGGUGAUAUUGGACUAUGGGCGAAAGCCUGAUCCAGCAAUGCCGCGUGAGUGAUGAAGGCCUUAGGGUUGUAAAGCUCUUUUACCCGGGAUGAUAAUGACAGUACCGGGAGAAUAAGCUCCGGCUAACUCCGUG